CUUGUAUUCUUCUGAUGAUCAUACCUGUUCGACGGGAGUCAUCGUCCUUAUGGUACAAUGACACUGUUGCGAACUGGGAUGGUCAAAGGCAUUCGUUCCGCAUA
rnacentral:pre_miRNA from 1 species